AUUGAACGCUGGCGGCAGGCCUAACACAUGCAAGUCGAGCGGAUGAAGGGAGCUUGCUCCUGGAUUCAGCGGCGGACGGGUGAGUAAUGCCUAGGAAUCUGCCUGGUAGUGGGGGAUAACGUCCGGAAACGGGCGCUAAUACCGCAUACGUCCUGAGGGAGAAAGUGGGGGAUCUUCGGACCUCACGCUAUCAGAUGAGCCUAGGUCGGAUUAGCUAGUUGGUGGGGUAAAGGCCUACCAAGGCGACGAUCCGUAACUGGUCUGAGAGGAUGAUCAGUCACACUGGAACUGAGACACGGUCCAGACUCCUACGGGAGGCAGCAGUGGGGAAUAUUGGACAAUGGGCGAAAGCCUGAUCCAGCCAUGCCGCGUGUGUGAAGAAGGUCUUCGGAUUGUAAAGCUCUGUUAGUUGGGAGGAAGAGCAGUAAGUUAAUACCUUGCUGUUUUGACGUUACCAACCGAAAAAGCACCGGCUAACUUCGUG
rnacentral:rRNA from 1 species